rnacentral:rRNA from 1 species
UGGCGGACGGGUGAGUAACGCGUGAGAAUCUGCCUUCUGGUCGGGGACAACCAUUGGAAACGAUGGCUAAUACCGGAUGAGCCUACGGGUAAAAGAUUUAUUGCCAGAAGAGGAGCUCGCGUCUGAUUAGCUAGUUGGUGGGGUAAAAGCUCACCAAGGCAUCGAUCAGUAGCUGGUCUGAGCGGAUGACCAGCCACACUGGGACUGAGACACGGCCCAG